GAUGAACGCUAGCUACAGGCUUAACACAUGCAAGUCGAGGGGAAACGACAUCGAAAGCUUGCUUUUGAUGGGCGUCGACCGGCGCACGGGUGAGUAACGCGUAUCCAACCUGCCCACCACUUGGGGAUAACCUUGCGAAAGUAAGACUAAUACCCAAUGACGUCUCUAGAAGACAUCUGAAAGAGAUUAAAGAUUUAUCGGUGAUGGAUGGGGAUGCGUCUGAUUAGCUUGUUGGCGGGGUAACGGCCCACCAAGGCGACGAUCAGUAGGGGUUCUGAGAGGAAGGUCCCCCACAUUGGAACUGAGACACGGUCCAAACUCCUACGGGAGGCAGCAGUGAGGAAUAUUGGUCAAUGGACGAGAGUCUGAACCAGCCAAGUAGCGUGCAGGAGGACGGCCCUAUGGGUUGUAAACUGCUUUUAUAAGGGAAUAAAGUGAGUCUCGGGAGACUUUUUGCAUGUACCUUAUGAAUAAGGACCGGCUAAUUCCGUG
rnacentral:rRNA from 1 species